rnacentral:lncRNA from 1 species
CAAAAUGUUAUUUUUAUAUUAAAACCAAAAUAAAUAAAUAAAUAAUCAUAUCUUUAAAAUAACAAUAAAAAAAUCAAAUAAAAAACAACAAAAAUAAAUAAAUAAAUAAGUAUUGGGGGAGUAGAAAUCGGGAUAGAGAGAGAGAGAGAGAGAGAGAGAGAGAGAGAGAGAGAGAGAGAGAGAGAGAGUAUAAUUUUGAUUUUUUAAUUUUUUAUUCAUAUUUUAAUCAAUUUUGAUACAAAAAUAUCAUUUUGCCUUUGCAUUUAACAGAAAAGUUAACAAUAUUAACGGCAUGACCAUUUGUCCUAACUAAAGUGAAGUUGAAUGACCAUGGGAACCAUUUUGGAAAUUGAGGUACUCAAAUACAAAUCGGGUCUAAGUUCAAGGACUAAUAAAACGAUUAACCCCUAAUUGUAUUUUAUGUUCCAACAGCCCUUUUUUUUUUUCCCCUUAUGUUCGCUGUUUCCUUCAUCUUUUUUUCCCCUUUUUUUUUUAUUAUCAAAAUUUGUUUUUCGAAUCUUGUCUAAAUUUCAAUUUUUUUAUAGAGAAAUGUUCAUUAAAAUUGUUUAAUAUUUUAUUUUAUUUUAUGAUUUAUUCCCUUAUUUGUUUUUCUAAUUUUCUUAAUU